rnacentral:rRNA from 1 species
UACAGAGGUCUCAAGCGUUGUUCGGAUUCAUUGGGCGUAAAGGGUGUGUAGGUGGCGCGCUAAGUCAGGUGUGAAAUUUCGGAGCUUAACUCCGAAACUGCAUUCGAUACUGGCGUGCUUGAGGACUGGAGAGGAGACUGGAAUUCAUGGUGUAGCAGUGAAAUGCGUAGAGAUCAUGAGGAAGACCAGUGGCGAAGGCGGGUCUCUGGACAGUUCCUGACACUGAGACACGAAGGCCAGGGGAGCAAACGGG